AGGGAUUCAUCAUUCUGCAGUGAUGUGUGUGUUCAUUGGCCCUGUCCCCGCUCUCCUCACAGAAACGCUGAAGCCAUCGUGACGGAUGCAGGACAUGAUGAAUGUUUCAUCUGUAUCGCAACUGUCAAGAGGAGAAAAAAACAACCUGAAUCUUCUGUCGAGAGAGAAAGUCAUACAGGAGUGGAAUGACAAGUUUACAGCUUUAAUGGCAUGACAAGCAUCAAAUAUGGGAUUAUGCGGUUAAAAGUAGGAAAUGA